ACUACUAUAAAUCUCCACCACCACCUUCUCCAUCUCCGCCGCCACCUUACCACUACUCUUCUCCACCACCACCUAAGAAAUCACCUCCACCACCAUACUACUACAAAUCUCCACCACCACCUUCGCCAUCUCCUCCUCCACCUUACCACUACUCCUCUCCACCACCACCUAAAAAAUCACCUCCACCACCAUACUACUAUAAGUCUCCACCACCACCUUCACCAUCUCCUCCACCACCGUACUACUAUAAGUCUCCGCCGCCACCAUCACCCUCUCCUCCACCACCAUACUAUUAUAAAUCCCCACCACCACCUUCACCAUCUCCUCCACCGCCGUACUACUACAAGUCCCCACCACCACCUUCUCCGUCUCCUCCACCACCAUAUUACUACAAAUCUCCACCACCGCCAUCACCAUCACCUCCACCACCAUACUACUACAAAUCUCCACCACCGCCAUCACCAUCACCUCCACCACCAUACUACUACACAUCCCCAAAUCUCCACCACCGCCAUCACCAUCACCUCCACCACCAUACUACUACAAAUCCCCUCCACCUCCGGCGAAAUCUCCCCCACCACCUCCGUACUAUUACAAGUCUCCGCCGCCACCUAAGGCUUACCCUCCUCCUUACCACUACACAUCACCGCCGCCGCCUGCAGUCUAUCCUCAUGAUCUGACUGUCAAGGUUGUCGGAAAAGUGUAUUGCUAUAGAUGUUAUGACUGGGCUUACCCAAAAAAGUCACACGACAAGAAGCACCUUAAAGGUAUAAUAAUUAUUUAAUAACUUCCCGUUAUAUGAAACUUAGUUGUUUUUAAUGCAUGAUAAAUUUAUCAUGUGUCGCUGUACAAAUGCUAGUUCCCACUAAGAAUCAACAUAAAAAUCUCCACCAUAUUUCUGCAUGUUUUGGCAUAUAUGUUGUAGUGGACUUAGUAUUAUUUUGUAUAAUUAAUUAUAAACAAAUUAAAACAGCUCUUUGAUUGUCCCAUUUGCCAAAUUAUUAAAGACCACCAAGUCAGAGUGAUAUUUGGCAAUUGGCAUCUCUGUUUUUUUUUCCUUUUUUUACUUAUUUAAAAAUACUGAAAUACCUACUCAGUGGAAAAUAAUAUGGAAAUGAUUAUUUUAAGGUUGUCAUGUAGUAACGUGCUUGACCACUGACAAAUAAAACUAAACAAAUAUAAUUAGUUAUGGUCUUGUUUUGAGAAAAUUGUGAUGCUGACGUGUGAUGUUGAUUGUCUCUUAACGACUUUUCUCUCCAACAGGAGCCGUGGUGGAAGUAACUUGCAAGGCAGGGGAAAAGGAAAUCAAGGCGUACGGGAAGACCAAAAUCAACGGCAAAUAUAGCAUCACCGUCGACGGAUUCGAGUACGGCAAAUAUGGAGCCAAGGCUUGCACAGCUAAGCUUCACGCGCCGCACAAGGGUUCCAAGUGUAGCAUCCCGACCAAGCUUCACGGCGGAAACAAGGGUGCCGAGCUGAAAGUGAAGUCCAAGGAUUACCACUUGAUUGUGUUGCAGGCUAAGUCGUUUGCUUAUGCUCCUAAGAAGCCUUAUGCAGAGUGUGAGAAGCCUAAGCCAAAACCCACACCUCCUAGUCCUUACUACUACAAGUCCCCACCUCCUCCUCCUCCAGCUUACGUGUACAAGUCCCCGCCACCACCGGCUUACGUGUACAAGUCUCCGCCCCCUCCUUCACCUAAGCCAUACUACUAUAAGUCACCUCCUCCUCCAACUUACGUGUACAAAUCACCUCCACCACCGGCUUACGUGUACAAGUCUCCGCCCCCUCCUUCACCUAAGCCAUACUACUAUAAGUCACCUCCUCCUCCAACUUACGUGUACAAAUCACCUCCACCACCGGCUUACAUGUACAAGUCACCGCCACCCCCUUCACCUAAGCCAUACUACUAUAAGUCACCCCCUCCUCCGACUUACGUGUACAAGUCACCUCCACCACCUGCUUACGUGUACAAGUCACCGCCACCUCCUUCACCUAAGCCAUACUACUACAAGUCACCACCACCACCAUCUCCAUCACCGCCGCCUCCUUACUAUUACAAGUCUCCACCACCACCGUCGCCUAAGCCAUACUACUACAAGUCCCCACCACCACCAUCUCCUUCGCCACCACCACCAUACUACUACAAGUCCCCACCGCCGCCAUCACCUAAGCCAUACUACUAUAAAUCUCCACCACCACCAUCACCUAAGCCAUACUACUACAAGUCUCCCCCUCCACCAUCUCCUUCACCACCACCACCUUACUACUACAAAUCUCCACCACCACCGUCACCUUCCCCACCACCACCUUACUACUACAAAUCCCCACCUCCGCCAUCACCAUCUCCACCACCACCGUACUAUUACAAAUCUCCCCCACCUCCGUCACCAUCACCACCGCCUCCUUCGUACUAGCAAUACCCACCCCCACCAUCCCCAUCACCCCACAACCCCCCCCCCCCCCCCCCCCCCCCCCCACCGCCUCCUUACUACUACAAAUCUCCACCCCCACCAUCCCCAUCACCCCCUCCUCCUUACUACUACAAGUCUCCACCACCACCGUCUCCCUCACCUCCUCCACCAUACUACUACAAGUCUCCACCUCCUCCGUCGCCAUCUCCACCACCACCAUACUACUACAAAUCUCCCACACCACCAUCAUCGUCACCGCCACCUCCUUACCACUACAAGUCUCCCCCACCACCAUCACCAUCUCCACCACCACCAUACUACUACAAGACCCCUCCUCCUCCNNNNNNNNNNNNNNNNNNNNNNNNNNNNNNNNNNNNNNNNNNNNNNNNNNNNNNNNNNNNNNNNNNNNNNNNNNNNNNNNNNNNNNNNNNNCCACCACCACCAUACUACUACAAAUCUCCCCCACCACCAUCUCCCUCACCUCCACCACCGUACUACUACAAGUCUCCACCACCACCAUCACCUUCACCACCACCACCAUACUACUACAAAUCUCCACCACCUCCUUCCCCAUCACCGCCACCUCCUUACCACUACAAGUCUCCCCCACCACCAUCACCAUCUCCACCACCACCAUACUACUACAAGUCCCCUCCUCCUCCCUCACCGUCUCCACCACCACCAUACUACUACAAAUCCCCACCACCACCGUCGUCAUCACCCCCUCCUCCAUACCACUACAGCUCACCUCCCCCACCGGUGAAAUCACCACCACCACCGGCAUACAUCUAUUCAUCUCCCCCACCACCAGCCCACUACUAGGCUCAAACGCCUCGGCAACAAACCACCAAUGUAAGUUUCUAUUACUCCUCUCAAUUCCAUCAAAACGCUAUAGCAAUUCAUUCAUACGUUAUUACAGCUUUCCUAACAGUACUACUUUCCCAUUUCAG
rnacentral:lncRNA from 1 species